AAUUCGCCCUUAGAGUUUGAUCAUGGCUCAGAGUGAACGCUGGCGGCGUGCCUAACACAUGCAAGUCGAACGGUAACAGGAGAAAGCUUGCUUUCUUGCUGACGAGUGGCGCACGGGUGAGUAAUGUAUAGCUAACGUGCCCUACAGAGGGGGAUAGCCACUGGAAACGGUGAUUAAUACCCCAUACUCCUUCUUAACACAAGUUAAGUUGGGAAAUGGAUUUCCGCUGUAGGAUCGGGCUAUAUCGUAUCAGGUAGUUGGUGGGGUAACGGCCUACCAAGCCAAUGACGCGUAGCUGGUUUGAGAGGAUGAUCAGCCACACUGGUACUGAGACACGGACCAGACUCCUACGGGAGGCAGCAGUGAGGAAUAUUGCACAAUGGGGGGAACCCUGAUGCAGCAACGCCGCGUGGACCAUGAA
rnacentral:rRNA from 1 species